rnacentral:rRNA from 1 species
UGAAAAGAACUUUGAAGAGAGAGUUCAAGAGUGCGUGAAACUGCUCGGAGGUAAACGGGUGGGCCCUCGAAAGGUCUUGGCCUGAUGGUUCGGUCGGAGAGUCUUGAGCUCGAUGGUGCGACGGGAUUCCUCGACGGGACCUCUCCRCUUAGUGAUGCUCUCAGCUUNCCGGCGCAUUCCAUAMKGCGUGGACGUCGCAGCUGGUUGGUGGACAGCAAAGAGAGCGGGCGAUGGCAGGUGGCAGCCGAGUCUAUCGGCUGUGUCUGGCCAUAUUCGUUCGUGGCAUGAUCACCGACCGAGGAUACGUCUCUUUCUCGAGAUUUGCCGUGCUCUCGUCUGUGCGAGCGGGAUUUCCCGCGCAGAGUGUACGCGGCUGGCGAUGUCGGUUACCCACCCGACCCGUCUUGAAACACGGACCAAGGAGUCCAACAUGUGCGCGAGUCAGUGGGACUCGGACAAGCCCACGGGCAGAACGAAAGUGAUCGGUCGGGAUCCGCACUGCUCGCGGUGCGGCGCACCGACGGCCUGACGCCAUAACAGUUAGGCGUCGGGGCAAUAGCGUACACGUUGGGACCCGAAAGACGGUGAACUAUGCCCGGGUAGGAUGAAGCCGGGGGAAACUCCGGUGGAGGUCCGCAGCGGUUCUGACGUGCAAUUCGAUCGUCGAACCCGGG